UGGGAGUACCAUUGAUCCCGCCCUCAUCUGAGGUGACGGGAAAGGGCCGGGAAAUUUCCACUUCUGAAUAAAAUGACUGCUGAAGUGAUGACCCGCAAGAAUUGGUCAAAUUUGGAGUAGACUUCACCCUGCGCUUGGUGAAACUUCUACGUCAAGGAUGCAAGAGGCGCCGAAGUAACGCAGCUCCCACCUGUCGCUCUCCGCUGGGCGCCGAGACUAUGGCCGGAGAAUAGCUGCACCGGGAUUGGAGAAAGGAAGCCAUCAGUCUUAGGAAGGCUCCACCUUCCUGCCAUUGCCUGGUUGGAGGAGCGUAGCGUCAGUCACUAGAGCAGUCACCACCUCUGGGACAGGAUUCCCAACCAGGGAGAGCCACAGCGAGUGAGAGGGGAGAUUCUUCCUCUCGUGGAGGCCUUGGCCACCCUUCCAGGCUCAGAGUCUCCCAAGACCCUCCAGGACACAGCCCAACCCUGCCUCAGCUUACCAUGAGGGGGAAGAUGAUGGCUGCAGGGGUAGACUUGAUUAUCCAAAGCAGCCCCAGACAGGCAAGCUGGAUGGCUGUGAAGAGGUGGACCCUGGUCAGAGGCACAUGCCGCAAGAGUAGCAGGUCUGGCUGGUGUUUUGCUGGCAUCAACAACAGCUUCACCCUAUUAGUGAACUAGGGGAACAAGAGGAAGAGGAAAGCAGGGCACUCAGGUGAUUUUAAUGGGCUCACCUGAAUGCUGCUGAGCGCUGCCACCCCCAUAUACAGGAAGAUGCCAUAGAGCACAGGCAUUGGAAUGAACUGGUAGAAAGAAGCAGAGAGUUAUCAAAGUUUACCUCUGCCAACCUCCCAGAUGCCCCAGGAUGCCCAGAUGCCCUAGAUCCCUCUAGCAUCUAGCAUCCAGGUCUGCCCAGGCCUUGCCUUUCCUUUCACAUGUUUCAUGCCGAUCUUAUUGAAUCCUCAAAUCAAUUAGAUGAAGUAAAUGUUAUUAUUGCCUUCA
ensembl:lncRNA ANKHD1-DT ANKHD1 divergent transcript